GAUGAACGCUGGCGGCGUGCCUAAUACAUGCAAGUCGAGCGAACGGACGAGAAGCUUGCUUCUCUGAUGUCAGCGGCGGACGGGUGAGUAACACGUGGAUAACCUACCUAUAAGACUGGGAUAACUUCGGGAAACCGGAGCUAAUACCGGAUAAUAUUUUGAACCGCAUGGUUCAAAAGUAAAAGACGGUCUUGCUGUCACUUAUAGAUGGAUCCGCGCUGCAUUAGCUAGUUGGUAAGGUAACGGCUUACCAAGGCAACGAUGCAUAGCCGACCUGAGAGGGUGAUCGGCCACACUGGAACUGAGACACGGUCCAGACUCCUACGGGAGGCAGCAGUAGGGAAUCUUCCGCAAUGGGCGAAAGCCUGACGGAGCAACGCCGCGUGAGUGAUGAAGGUCUUCGGAUCGUAAAACUCUGUUAUUAGGGAAGAACAUAUGUGUAAGUAACUGUGCACAUCUUGACGGUACCUAAUCAGAAAGCCACGGCUAACUACGUGCCAGCAGCCGCGGUAAUACGUAGGUGGCAAGCGUUAUCCGGAAUUAUUGGGCGUAAAGCGCGCGUAGGCGGUUUUUUAAGUCUGAUGUGAAAGCCCACGGCUCAACCGUGGAGGGUCAUUGGAAACUGGAAAACUUGAGUGCAGAAGAGGAAAGUGGAAUUCCAUGUGUAGCGGUGAAAUGCGCAGAGAUAUGGAGGAACACCAGUGGCGAAGGCGACUUUCUGGUCUGUAACUGACGCUGAUGUGCGAAAGCGUGGGGAUCAAACAGGAUUAGAUACCCUGGUAGUCCACGCCGUAAACGAUGAGUGCUAAGUGUUAGGGGGUUUCCGCCCCUUAGUGCCGCAGCUAACGCAUUAAGCACUCCGCCUGGGGAGUACGACCGCAAGGUUGAAACUCAAAGGAAUUGACGGGGACCCGCACAAGCGGUGGAGCAUGUGGUUUAAUUCGAAGCAACGCGAAGAACCUUACCAAAUCUUGACAUCCUUUGACAACUCUAGAGAUAGAGCCUUCCCCUUCGGGGGACAAAGUGACAGGUGGUGCAUGGUUGUCGUCAGCUCGUGUCGUGAGAUGUUGGGUUAAGUCCCGCAACGAGCGCAACCCUUAAGCUUAGUUGCCAUCAUUAAGUUGGGCACUCUAAGUUGACUGCCGGUGACAAACCGGAGGAAGGUGGGGAUGACGUCAAAUCAUCAUGCCCCUUAUGAUUUGGGCUACACACGUGCUACAAUGGACAAUACAAAGGGCAGCGAAACCGCGAGGUCAAGCAAAUCCCAUAAAGUUGUUCUCAGUUCGGAUUGUAGUCUGCAACUCGACUACAUGAAGCUGGAAUCGCUAGUAAUCGUAGAUCAGCAUGCUACGGUGAAUACGUUCCCGGGCCU
rnacentral:rRNA from 1 species